rnacentral:rRNA from 1 species
CCUACGGGUGGCAGCAGUGAGGAAUAUUGGUCAAUGGGCGUAAGCCUGAACCAGCCAAGUCGCGUGAGGGAUGAAGGUUCUAUGGAUCGUAAACCUCUUUUAUAAGGGAAUAAAGUGUGGGACGUGUCCUAUUUUGUAUGUACCUUAUGAAUAAGGAUCGGCUAACUCCGUGCCAGCAGCCGCGGUAAUACGGAGGAUCCGAGCGUUAUCCGGAUUUAUUGGGUUUAAAGGGUGCGUAGGCGGCCUUUUAAGUCAGCGGUGAAAGUCUGUGGCUCAACCAUAGAAUUGCCGUUGAAACUGGGGGGACUGAGUAUGUUGGAGGCAGGCGGAAUGCGUGGGGGAGCGGUGAAAUGAUGAGAUAUCACGCAGAACCCCGAUUGCGAAGGAAGCCUGCCAAGCCAUGACUGACGCUGAUGCACGAAAGCGUGGGGAUCAAACAGGAUUAGAUACCCCGGUAGUC